rnacentral:rRNA from 1 species
CCUACGGGCGGCAGCAGUGAGGAAUAUUGGUCAAUGGUCGCGAGCCUGAACCAGCCAAGUAGCGUGAGGGAUGAAUGUCCAGCGUAUCGUAAACCUCUUUUGUCAGGGAACAAAGUCGGGCACGUGUCCCCGGAUGUGUGUACCUUAUGAAUAAGCAUCGGCUAACUCCGUGCCAGCAGCCGCGGUAAUACGGAGGAUUCGAGCGUUAUCCGGAUUUAUUGGGUUUAAAGGGUGCGCCGAGGGGCUGUUAAGUCAGGCGUGAAAGGCUGGGGCUCAACCCCGAACCUGCAUUUAAAACUGGCAGCCGUGAGUAGAGUAGAGGUAGGCGGAAUGCGCGGUGUAGCGGUGAAAUGCUUAGAUAGCGCGAAGAACUCCGAUUGCGAAGGCAGCCUACUGAACUGCAACUGACACUGAUGCUCGAAAGUGUGGGUAUCAAACAGGAUUAGAUACCCGGGUAGUC